CCUUGAGCAAGCAGAAAAGGAUAAAUCAUGUCUUGAAUUAGAAGAUUAUGAGAAGCUUAAAGCUAAAGUUGCCGAUAAAGAAUUAUUGAUAACUGAAAUAUUGGAAGAGAAGACACAAGUAGAGGAGAAAAAACAGAUUAUUACUGAAGAUUACGAGAAACUUAAAGUCAAAGUAGCUGAUCUAUUGGAGGAAAAGGGGGAACAAUACCUCAAGGAGAAACAAAUUAUUACUG